rnacentral:rRNA from 1 species
CACAUGCAAGUCGAGCGGCAGCGGGAAGUAGUUUACUACUUUGCCGGCGAGCGGCGGACGGGUGAGUAAUGUCUGGGAAACUGCCUGAUGGAGGGGGAUAACUACUGGAAACGGUAGCUAAUACCGCAUAACGUCUACGGACCAAAGUGGGGGACCUUCGGGCCUCACGCCAUCGGAUGUGCCCAGAUGGGAUUAGCUAGUAGGUGGGGUAAUGGCUCACCUAGGCGACGAUCCCUAGCUGGUCUGAGAGGAUGACCAGCCACACUGGAACUGAGACACGGUCCAGACUCCUACGGGAGGCAGCAGUGGGGAAUAUUGCACAAUGGGCGCAAGCCUGAUGCAGCCAUGCCGCGUGUGUGAAGAAGGCCUUCGGGUUGUAAAGCACUUUCAGCGAGGAGGAAGGCAUAAAGGUUAAUAACCUUUGUGAUUGACGUUACUCGCAGAAGAAGCACCGGCUAACUCCGUGCCAGCAGCCGCGGUAAUACGGAGGGUGCAAGCGUUAAUCGGAAUUACUGGGCGUAAAGCGCACGC